CCUUAAAAACUCAGAACCCUAAAUUCUCUUUGAUUGCUAGAAAGAUUUUUAAAUAAAAAGACAAUUUGUGGUGAUGAGAUGGUGAAAAAUUUCACGGGACGCGUGAGGGAAGACGAAACAAGCUUCCAAUUCGAAGAACACCCUUGAAUUGUGUCGAACCUGAAGUUCCAAAAUCAAGAGAGAGUAAAAGGACUGUUUCUAAAGAAGAAGAAAGAAGCAAUGUUGUUGAAAGAGGAAUGACGAACUCUCUUGAAAAAGACUAAUUAUCUUGGCUGAAGAAGAAACAAUUAGAAUUAUUCAAAAAAAAAAGAAGAAACAACUAGAAGUGAUGAACUGAUAAGGAACGAAAAAGAAACAAGGAAUGUGCUUGAAGAAGAAGAGCUAAUAAAUCCAGAAAAGACAAAAAAUGGUUGAAGAAGAGAUAAGGAAUGAAGAAGAAGAAGCAACUAUAGAGUUUGAUGAUAAUGCUUCUGGCUUUUUAGAUUUAAUGUCUCUGUUUAGUAUUUGCAUCAUUUAAUCCUUUUUGGUCCAAUUUUGCGAAAAUAAACAUUACUUUAGGAAUAAAUCUGCGCAACGUAAAAUUGGAUAUUAAAAAUGCUGAUUUCAAUUAGUUGAGGAAUUAAAAACUCAUUUUCCCGGAGUUUCACUGGUCUUUAUACCAAAAGACCACCUUAAGAGAUCAGAUUUACUCCUGAAUUGUAAUACUAUUCAAAAAGUAUAAUAUCCAAGAAAAUCAAUGAGUUUUUAUAGAUAUAUUAUACCAACGGAGGUCCAAAUUGUAGGAACCUUAUUUUACUACCAUAGGACAACUGAUAUUUGUAAAGAAUAAUAAGAACAUAAACUAAAAUUUCAAUACCAAAAUAUAAAAAUAAAGAAGAAUUGCAGAGUCGAGAUAGUUAAUCUCUUUCCUUAAAUCUUUAAACGCCCCGUAGUGUGACGGUUUUAUGGCGCUCAGAUUCCCAAGAUACAACUGCAGCAUUGUUUCUGUUUACCAUCACCGAAAAACAGAAUCUAUCGAACCUAUUUUUGUGAUGUACUCUCAGACUCAAAAGAAUAAAAAAUACUAGCAUAACUAUUCUGAGUGGGAGAAAUGUUCUUGAUUGUAUGAAUGUGUGUGUUUUCUAAAUGGCUCACAAGCCUUUAUAUAGAAAUAUAAUGAGAAGCACAAGUUUCAUUUUUCAACACAAAAAUGAAACCUCCAUAGUGCACUAAUGGAGUUUUUAAUUCUUGUCAUUAUUAUGUGAAUUUAUUCCACAUUUUGACCAAGAAAUUAAAGAAUAAAAUUAUUAUUGUUUUGACCAAUUCAAACAAAAUAAUAUACUUUAAAAUGGAUUUCUUUUUUAUAUUUUAUCAAUAUAAAAGAUCAACAUAUAUUUGGUUUAUAAGAUUUAGUCAAUGAACAUGAAGUUCAACUAACAAAUCAAAAAACCCAAAUCCAAUUUCAAAUAUCCAAUGUGUGUAUUUGCUACUUUAUACAAGUUUUUCAAAUCACACACAUUAGACCUCCAUUUCUUAUUCAAAUAAAACUUCUUUUUUGACAUAUGAAUACAUUAUUCAUAAUGUUCAAAAAAUAGUUCCAACAAUCCCCCACAUGAAUAGAAAUGACUCUAGACACUAGACGACUCGACAGACUUUCUAGACAAGACUCAACUUCCUAGACAAGACUCGACAAGACCUAACUAAGGACUUUUGAGAGUACAAACGAAAAAUCCACUGCAUGAUGAGUUGGUAGCAAUUUUUCAGCCUUGAACCAGUCAUUGUUAAUAGCUAUCGGAUUUACUCGGCCAGGAGGUGGCCAUGAUGUCUUGAACCUCCCGGGCUUUGGUGUAAACCUAGACAAUAGCCAUAACACAGCUUCAUUCUCUCACAGAAUUAGGUUCUCUAUUGUGUUCAUUUUGGCCGUGAACAGUCUUGGUUAAUCAUGAGUGAACUUGGAGAAUAUAGCCUUUCCUUCAUUCUCCUAGAAACGGCCCCAUUUCACACUCACAAGGUGAUUUGCCAUUAACUUUGUUUAGAGGAGUAUCAUGUACUACUCCAUUCAUAUCUCAAAGCUAUGGACACAAAUCAUUAAAAGCUAAUGCUUAUCCUGUAUUCCUUACAUGUAGCACUGUUUAAUCAUCAUAGGAAUUGGGUAUAGACCGAAGUCUUACAGUGCUUUGGGCAGACUUAGUUUCACUUAGUUGUCUCCUUGAACCUAUUUCUUGGGAUCUCCAGUCAGUUAGGUAGAGUUACCGCGAAACCUCAUCUUAAUUCACAGGCGACCCAUUCCUUUUGAUGAUAUAACAAUUUGAUCUCAUGACACACCUUUAAUUAAAGGAUCCUAGGUUGUCACCAUAGUGAACAUAAUCUCUUGAGAUUAGUCGAGAUCAAUUAUCUAAUGAUUUUUGUCAUCUUUUAUUCAAGAUACAAUUAACCAUUAUACACAAAACUCAGUGUAUGACACUAGUU